rnacentral:rRNA from 1 species
AUACGGAGGGAGCAAGCGUUAUUCGGAAUCACUGGGCGUAAGGACGCGUAGGCGGGUUUGUAAGUCAGGUGUGAAAUCCUACAGCUCAACUGUAGAACUGCACUUGAAACUACAGACCUAGAGUAUGGAAGGGGCAGAUGGAAUUAGUGGUGUAGGGGUAAAAUCCGUAGAUAUCACUAGGAAUACCGAAAGCGAAGGCGAUCUGCUGGGACAUUACUGACGCUGAGGCGUGAAAGCGUGGGGAGCAAACAGGAUUAGAUACCCCAGUAGUCC